rnacentral:rRNA from 1 species
UACGUAGGGGGCUAGCGUUGUCCGGAAUCAUUGGGCGUAAAGAGCGCGUAGGCGGCCAGAUAAGUCCGGUGUGAAAGUCACAGGCUCAACCUGUGAAUGCCGCUGGAAACUGUCUGGCUAGAGUCCGGGAGGGGCGAGUGGAAUUCCUGGUGUAGCGGUGAAAUGCGCAGAUAUCAGGAGGAACACCAGUGGCGAAGGCGCCGCUCUGGGCCGUGACUGACGCUGAGGAGCGAAAGCGUGGGUAGCAAACAGG